GCAGCGGUGGUUCACUGUUAGAUUUCUUGCCUUCCAUGCAGAAGACCUGGGUUUAAUUCCCAGCCAGUGUA
rnacentral:tRNA from 1 species